rnacentral:rRNA from 1 species
GAUGAACGCUGGCGGCGUGCCUAAUACAUGCAAGUCGAGCGAACAGAUGAGGAGCUUGCUCCUCUGACGUUAGCGGCGGACGGGUGAGUAACACGUGGAUAACCUACCUAUAAGACUGGGAUAAUUUCGGGAAACCGGAGCUAAUACCGGAUAAUAUAUUGAACCGCAUGGUUCAAUAGUGAAAGACGGUUUUGCUGUCACUUAUAGAUGGAUCCGCGCCGCAUUAGCUAGUUGGUAAGGUCACGGCUUACCAAGGCAACGAUGCGUAUCCGACCUGAUAGGGUGAUCGGCCACACUGGAACUGAGACACGGUCCAGACUCCUACGGGAGGCAGCAGUAGGGAAUCUUCCGCAAUGGGCGAAAGCCUGACGGAGCAACGCCGCGUGAGUGAUGAAGGUCUUCGGAUCGUAAAACUCUGUUAUUAGGGAAGAACAAAUGUGUAAGUAACUAUGCACGUCUUGACGGUACCUAAUCAGAAAGCCACGGCUAACUACGUG